AUGGCAUCGAAGGAGAAGAAGGAAGCUCCUACCCCUCCUAAAGCAGGAGCCAAAGCAAGGCUUUGAAGGUCAAAGUCAAGUAGGCAAUGUUGAAGGGUGUCAAGAGUUACAAAAAAAAUAAGAUCCAUAUGUCACCCACCUCCCGGCGGUCCAAGACACUGAAACUCUGGAGGUAGCCCAGAUAUCCUCAGAAGAGUGCCGCCAGGAGAAACAAUCUUGACUACUAUGCUGUCAUCAAGUUUCUGUUGACCACUGAGUCUGCCAUGAAGAAUAUAGAAGACAACAACAUGCUUGUAUUCAUUGUGGAUGUUAAAGCCAACAAGCACCAGAUCAAACAGGCUGUGAAGAAGCUCUAUGACAUCGAUGUAGCCAAGGUCAACACCCUGAUUAGGCCUGAGGGAGAGAAGGCAUAUGUUCAACUGGCUCCUGAUUACGAUGCUUUGGAUGUUGCCAACAAAAUUGGGUUCAUGUAA
rnacentral:lncRNA from 1 species